GCAUAUCCUAGUGGCGAACGGGUGAGUAACGCGUGAGCAACCUGCCUUGUACAACGGGAUACCCGAGGGAAACUUCGGUUAAUACGGUAUAAGACCACACUACCGCAUGGUAGAGGGGUAAAAGGAGAAAUCCGGUAUAAGAUGGGCUCGCGUCGCAUUAGCUAGUUGGUAAGGUAACGGCUUACCAAGGCGACGAUGCGUAGCCGACCUGAGAGGGUGAUCGGCCACAUUGGGACUGAGAUACGGCCCAGACUCCUACGGGAGGCAGCAGUGGGGAAUAUUGGGCAAUGGAGGAAACUCUGACCCAGCAAUGCCGCGUGAAUGAAGAAGGUCUUCGGAUUGUAAAGUUCUUUAGUUAGGGAAGAAUGUAAUGACGGUACCUAAAGAAUAAGCCCCGGCUAACUACGUGCCAGCAGCCGCGGUAAUACGUAGGGGGCAAGCGUUGUUCGGAAUGACUGGGCGUAAAGGGUGCGUAGGCGGUAGUACAAGUUAGAAGUGAAAUACCCAGGGCUUAACUCGGGUGCUGCUUCUAAAACUGUACGACUUGAGU
rnacentral:rRNA from 1 species